GAGGGUCCUGAAGGAACGUUGAAGACGACGACGUUGAUAGGCCGGGUGUGUAAGCGCAGCGAUGCGUUGAGCUAACCGGUACUAAUGAACCGUGAGGCUUAACCUUACAACGCCGAAG
rnacentral:rRNA from 1 species